rnacentral:tRNA from 1 species
GUCUCCGUAGCUCAGCUGGAUAGAGCAAGCGUUUCCUAAACGCUAGGUCGGAUGUUCGAAUCAUCUCGGAGACGCCA